AGAGUUUGAUCCUGGCUCAGAUUGAACGCUGGCGGCAUGCCUUACACAUGCAAGUCGAACGGUAACAGGUCUUCGGAUGCUGACGAGUGGCGAACGGGUGAGUAAUACAUCGGAACGUGCCCGAUCGUGGGGGAUAACGCAGCGAAAGCUGUGCUAAUACCGCAUACGAUCUACGGAUGAAAGCGGGGGAUCGCAAGACCUCGCGCGGACGGAGCGGCCGAUGGCAGAUUAGGUAGUUGGUGGGAUAAAAGCUUACCAAGCCGACGAUCUGUAGCUGGUCUGAGAGGACGACCAGCCACACUGGGACUGAGACACGGCCCAGACUCCUACGGGAGGCAGCAGUGGGGAAUUUUGGACAAUGGGCGCAAGCCUGAUCCAGCCAUGCCGCGUGCAGGAUGAAGGCCUUCGGGUUGUAAACUGCUUUUGUACGGAACGAAAAAGCUCUCUCUAAUACAGGGGGUGAAUGACGGUACCGUAAGAAUAAGCACCGGCUAACUACGUGCCAGCAGCCGCGGUAAU
rnacentral:rRNA from 1 species